rnacentral:tRNA from 1 species
GGACUGUAGCUCAGUGGUAGAGUGCUUAUCUCACACAUGUGAGGCACUGGGUUCUAUUCUCAGCACCA